AUCUUUCUAGGAUUCAUUUGCCAACAUAGAACCGAGUCAUCGGCAAAUUGUAUAUCUACGAUAUACAGAGUGAAAUAUCAAAACAUAUAUAAAACGAAAGAAAUGUGGCGACACUCAUCGUUAUUGGUCAUUGUUGCGUUGGCCUUACAAGCUCAAGCAUUAAUUCAUUCACCACCACGAAUCAUCAAACAACCCCCAACAGACGAAUUGCUCUUCCAGGUAGCACAACAGGCUAAUGAGAACGACAAACCAUUUAUUGUAGAAUGUGAAGCUGAGGGUGAACCGGCUCCAAAAUACCGAUGGAUAAAGAACGGCAAGAAAUUCGACUGGCAAGCAUAUGAUGACCGAAUGUCCCAACAGCCCGGCCGCGGUACAUUAGUCAUAACCUCACCGCGUGACGAAGAUUUGGGUCAAUAUCAGUGUUUCGCCGAAAACGAACACGGUGUGGCUACAUCAAAUUCAGUGUUCGUACGCAAAGCCGAAUUAAAUUCGUUUAAGGACGAACUUCCGAAAACGCUCACUGCCAACGAAGGUGAUCCGUUUAAGUUACAGUGUCAACCGCCAGAUGGUUGGCCGAAACCAAAUGUUUAUUGGUUGAUUCAAAGCACGGAUGGCGGCAUCAGAAGUAUUAACAAUUCUCGAAUGACCUUGGAUCCAGAAGGAAAUUUAUGGUUUUCCAAUGUGACACACAACGAUGCAUCGAACGAUUUCUACUAUGCGUGUUCGGCGACAUCGGUAUUCCGAAACGAAUAUAAACUGGGCAAUCGUGUACUGUUAGACGUUGUCCAAACGGGCAUAUCUCCAACUCAGAAUAGACACGCACCGGUUCGUCAAUACGUAACAAGGAAAAAUGAAGUGGCACUGCGUGGAAAACGAGUCGAACUGUACUGCAUUUACGGUGGUACGCCGCUUCCGCAGAUAUUAUGGUCUAAAGAUGGUCGAGCUAUAAAUUGGGGUGAUCGCAUAACGCAAGGCAAUUAUGGUAAAUCGUUGAUUAUACGGCAUGCAACAUUCGAAGACGCUGGUAGUUAUACUUGUGAAUCGUCGAACGGUGUCGGAAACGCUCAAUCGUAUUCCAUCAAAUUGGAGGUAUUGGCUGUUCCCUACUUUACAAUUGAGCCAGAAAUUCAAAAUGCUGCCGAAGAUGAAACUGUUGAGUUCCGUUGCGCUGCUACUGGCUUCCCAGAGCCCACCAUUAAAUGGAUACACAAUGGAAAGCCAAUUGCUGAAUCACCAGCGAAUGAUCGAAGAACAGUGAGCACAAAUAGCAUUGUCAUCAAGAAAUUGAACAAAAAGGAUACGGGAAAUUACGGUUGUAACGCAACCAACUCACUGGGCUAUGUGUACAAAGAUGUCUACUUGAAUGUGUUAGCACUGCCACCAGAGAUCACCGAGCCACCGCGCCAAGAAGCUACCGUCGAUGGACGAACUGUAUCGAUGAUUUGCCGUGUGUUCGGCGCACCGAAACCUGAAGUGAAAUGGAUCCGUAACGGUUUGGAAUUGACCGGUGGACGAUACAAAACACAAGAGAAUGGCGAUUUGUUGAUCACACAAGUGGGUUUCGCCGAUGCCGGCGAUUACACGUGUCAUGCUGAAAACAAAUUUGGCACAAAGGAAGCGAGUGGUAGUUUGAUUGUGAAAGAACAUACUCGUAUCACCGACGAGCCACAAGACUAUGAAGUGGCAGCCGGUAAUCCAGCCACAUUCCGCUGUAAUGCCGUUGCUGAUUCGUCACUGGAUCUGCAGAUAAAAUGGUUGAACGAUGGCGAAGAAAUUGACUUUGAAAAUGAGCCACGUUUUGUACGCACAAAUGACUAUUCUCUGACUAUCUCUAAGACUGCCGAACUCGAUUCGGGUAUUUAUAUUUGUGUGGCUAGCACUGAAUUGGAUGAAGCCCGAGCUCAAGCUACAUUGAUCGUUCAAGAUGUGCCAAAUCCACCAAGACUGAAAGGAGUACGUUGUAAUUCUCAUGAUGCUGCCGUUACAUGGGAACCGUUAGGCGACAAUCGUGCUCCCAUUUUGCACUACACCAUCCAAUACAAUACCUCAUUCACACCAGAUAGUUGGGAAGUAGCCUUCGAUAAAGUACCCGCAACCGAUUUUACAUACACCGUUGCAAUGAGCCCGUGGGCCAAUUAUACAUUCCGAAUUUUAGCUUUUAAUAAAAUUGGACCAUCACUUCCGUCCGGACACAGCGAACAAUGCUCAACUCAACCAGACGUUCCAUAUAAAAAUCCAGAUAAUGUUGAGGGUAAAGGUAACGAACCUACCAAUUUGAUCAUAUCGUGGACACAUAUGCCAGAAAUCGAGCACAAUGCUGCACACUUCCAGUAUCGCGUUUACUGGAAACGUGACAUACCGGCUGAGAAAUGGAAUACCGAAGAUAUUUGGGAUUGGGAACAGUCGAACAUUUUAAUCAGAGAUCAGCCGACGUUCCAACGGUACCGAAUCAAGGUGGUUGCAAUUAACGAAAUGGGAGAGUCAAAUAUGGCAGCCAAAGAAGUGAUUGGAUAUUCGGGCGAAGAUCGGCCGACGCAGGCACCAACGAACUUCACCAUGUUGCAAGUGACCGGCAGCACAUCAGCAGUUCUUAGCUGGAAUCCAGUACCGAACGAAAGUGUACGAGGCCAUUUUAAGGGCUACAAAAUUCAGACGUGGACAGAACAGGAUGGUGAUGAAAACUACCGUGAAAUCCACGUUAAAGGUGAUUCCAGUCAGGCAUUGGUGACCAAAUUCACACCAGACGCAAACAAUUUUGCCAGAGUAUUGGUAUACAAUAGCCGAUAUAAUGGACCGCCGAGUGCAGUUAUUGACUUCAGGACACCAGAAGGUGUGCCCAGCAGUGUACAAACAUUUGAAGCAUAUCCAUUGGGUUCGUCGGCGUUCUGGUUGACAUGGAAGAAACCAUUGCAACCCAAUGGUCAACUGACCGGUUACAAGAUCUACUACGAAAUGGUGAAUGGAACCAGAUUGGAAGCGAAACAAGAACGUGAACCACACAUUAAUGAUCCACGUAUUACCGGAGCGAAACUAGCUGGAUUAGCACACAGUACAAAAUACCGAAUCCAUAUCGCUGCCACCACAAAGGCUGGUGAGGGUGAAGACUAUUUCAUCGAACAAAAAACUUUGUCUGGACUUUCCGUACCACCAGAUGUUCCCUAUUUCACAACCGAACAUUUGCCCACUGAGAAUGGAUACGCCAAUGUAUUGAUCACGUGGAAGCCGAAUUUAGACGGCAAACCCGGCUCACAUUUCUUCGUCAAAUAUCGCAUUAAAGGCGAAAGUGUAUGGAUAAAAACCGAUCCUGAAUUGCAAGAAAAUUGGUUGGUUGUGCGACCAUUGGAACCAGACUCGACUUACGAAUUUGUCGUCGUUGCUGUCGAUGGCGAGUAUUUGACCGAAAGUCCAAUCGAAGAAGUUAGCACUUCUGGAAGCGAAUCCAUAUUAAAAGUGCCAAGCGAAAAUGUAGCGACAGCCGGUUGGUUCAUUGGCAUGAUGUUGGCUAUUGUAUUCCUGUUGUUGCUUUUAAUUUUAAUCUGCAUAAUCAAACGCAACCGCGGUGGCAAAUACGAUGUUCAUGACCGUGAACUGGCCAAUGGUCGGCGAGACUACAACGACGAAGGUGGAUUCCAUGAAUACUCACAGCCUUUGGACAACAAAAGCGCAGGACGGCAAUCGGUGGCAUCAAAUUUAACGAAACCUGAUCACGAAGACGACGCCGAUUCUAUGGCUGAAUAUGGUGAAGGAGAUACAGGUCAAUUUACGGAGGAAGGCUCAUUCAUCGGACAGUAUGGCAAGAAGGGAAAGCCUUCUUCGAAUUCACAAGCGUUCGCAACGCUUGUAUAACAAAACGCUCGACAUAACUUUUUACAUAAUUUUUUUUCAACGUUUUUAUCAUUUUGUUUUUUAAAAAAAAUUUACCUACCACUGCUUUGAUGUUUUCUUGCUAAUAUUGAAUUGAGGUCAAUUCACCGAAGACGGCUCGUUUAUUGGUCAAUACGUACCUGGUAAACCGCAACAACCGGUCAGUCCUCAACCGACUCCACAUAAUUCAACGCAACAGCCGGGCGCCAGCUCCGUUGCUACGUACGUAUAAAUGAACACAAUUAUUGAAACAGAAAAAGUGAAAAUUAAACGGAACAGAAAAUUGAGUUUAAAAAAAAAGAGAGAUGAAGGAAAAGAAAAGUAAAAUACAAAUGGAGCGUUUGAAUGUUUACGUAAAGAGACAUUUCAAUCGGACUAGAGUUUCUUUUAAAAUUAAAUAAUGAAAAAGUUUUCUUUGUUUUCUUUAAAAUCCGAGUAACGUAAUGAAAUGAAUCUCAAAACACAUGAGAUUCUUUCUCUCAUUUUAUCUUUUAAUUAGAAAUUUUAUAACAACUGAAUCUGAAUUAAGAAAUUACGAGAAAUGAUCGAUGGAUAUCCUGUUGAUCGGAUUCAUAAAUUAUAAUUUUUCUUUUGAUGGUCAUUUUAUGGAAAAUAUUUAUAAAGAAAAAUUGAGGAAGGAAAAAUUAAUUUUAAAAAAAUUAUAAUUAAUCUCUCAAACUUUAAGUGUAUUUGAAAAAUAUGCUUUCAGUGUGUGAUUUUUAAAGAAAAGAAACAAAAAAAAAUUGAAAAAAAAAUUCUUUUUUAAAAAAACAAACUAUGAAAACUACAUAUAUUCUGCUUAGCCGAUGAAAAAAUGAGGAGUCACUGUCUUGUUUUUAAAUUUUUUUAUUUUUCUUUAAUUUCAAAAAUCUAAUUCACGCAUUAAAUUAUUGACAAAAAAUGGAAAAAAUGUAUUUGAUAAUUUUUAAAUUAUUGUCGCGACUUUGUUGUUAUAAAAUAUUAACGUAUUAUUCACAUGUUCUGUCUUAUUAUUAUAAAAAAAUCGUUUUGUAUUUUGCCUUAGAUGAUUUUUAAAUAUAAAAAUAAAUAAAAAAGGAAAAAAAUGGUAAAGAAAAAUGAGUAGAAAAAAAUUUAAAAAAAAAUAUUUUUUUUAUUCAAAUGAUUGUGUUCAAGGAAAAACUACGGACUUUUUUUUCGUUUUUUACUGUUGUGAAAAUAAUUAAUUUUUCUGUUUUUCUAUUUUUUUUCUUUUCUAUUUUCGGUUUUUAACCGCAACAUUCAAGUAAUUCAAUCUUCAACCGAACAUUCAUCCCCCCAAAAUGUCACUUUUCUACUGUGUGAGCAUAAUAAUACAAAUUUAUUCUCACCGUCCUCCACUCUCCCCACGAGGGAGGAAUCAAUAUGCAUUCAUUCGUCCAACAAUUGUAUUGAUAUAUAAGAAACCAGCAUUUUGUAAUAACAUUGUCAUCGAUCAGACUUCAAUCCGAGGAAACACCGUAAAAUCACGAUGAACCAAGAAAUCAAUCGAAAAACCUAUUCAAAAUCAAUGUAACGAAAAAUUGAUUUUAAAAAAAUGUAACAACGAACCAUGUCAUCUACAGAGUAAUUACUGCAUUUGCUCUUGUUAGUCAUUGAAGAAAUGUAAUUCACAUUUCUCAUGACCGAUAAGAAUAAUUUGAUAAUCAGAACAUUGAAAUUUUGUCUAAUUUUUUCGAUUUCCAACUUUUGGAUGCGUUCACUUUCUUUAUCCAAAAGAAAUUUGAUUUGAUUCGAAAGAUCUGAAUUCGAUUAAAAUAUUACAGCCAAUUGAUCAAUUUUAAACACCUCUGUGUCCGUGGAUCGAAGUCUGAGUCGAAAUCAUUCAAAAGUACAAAACUUCAUUUAUUAUGUUCACUUUUUACGUCAUCCGUUGUAUCUAACGGUUUGACGAAAACAAUCAAUAAUAAUUCAGAGGCGGCUUUUUUUUGCAAACAAAUGAAAGUUUGACAUAAUGUUAUCCAAUGACAGCUUUAUCCCUAUCAAGAAGAUCCAUAGGAUCGAUGGGAUACAAAACUUAGGAUUUAUUUAUUUAUCAAUAUUUAUAUCAAUCAAUUUGUCGAAAGAACAGAAUCGUUGGCGCCUUUUCCCUCCCCUGUAAAACAUAGAACAUAGAUCCAAGAAAAGCUAAAAAGAAAAUUAUAAGAAGAAGAAAAGAACCAACUUCCGCUGUUGAUAUAUCAUCAAAUAAAAAUAAAAUCAUAAAUUGUUAUGCACAAAUCAAGUACGAAACUUCAGAAUGAAGUACCAGACGAGAAAAUUAAGUGAAAAGAAAAAAAGAAUUUAAUUUUUUUACAAAUCUAAUUUUUUUAAGGAAAUAAAUUUCGUUCUCUCUUUUUUUACGAUUUUACAAUAAUAGUUUUUAUAUUUAAAAAUUCAAUUGAACGGCCCUCGUUCAUUUUUAAUAUUAUUCAAAUGAUAAUUACAAUAUUUUUUGCGGUUAAUGAUCUGAGAACGUUCUUAAGUGUAAGUUUUUUUAUAUGUAAAAUAAAACACAAAGUAAAUAAAAUGCAAGCAAAUCACAUAUUUAAGGUUAUAUUUUAGUGCUUAAAUCAUUAAAAAAAAUAUUUUUUUUGUUAGAAAACAAAGUGUAGCCAGGUUUGUCGGUAGAGUUUUUUUUAAGUCCAAUUUGUGGAAUUUGUGGGAAAAAACUCUACCAAGAAACCUUUUACCUUGAAAUUUCCGUCUUCAUUUUUUUUUAAAUCACAUCGUAAGUUUUUAUUAUUUUUUAUUUAAUAGAAAACGAGAAGGAAGAAGGAUCUUAAAGAGCACAUUAAAUGUAAAUAAUGGUAAUGAUAAAAAAAACAACAAAGAAAAAGAAGAAGAAAAAACCAAUUUCCUAAUUACGAUUUUAUAAGUUUCUUCAUCGAAAAGUAAUUUUAUGGAAGCAAAUUAUGAAAUUGACUGGCAUGGAAAUGAUUUUAACCGGAACACUAAUUGUUGCCUUCAUUGCAAAAAAAAACAAAACGGUAAAAGAGAACUGGAUGAUGCUCAGGGUUCCGGUAUUCGGGCCGAUCGCGAUGUGUUUCUGAAAUCGUUUGCAGACUGGGCUCUUCUAUGAUAAUUUUAGUUCUGAAAAUUCCGAAAAAUUCCUAGGAAUAUUUUCAGAGUUUUUUUUUGGAAUCGUCACAAUUAAAAAUCCCAAAAUUAAGCCCUGCAGCCAGUAUAUACCUUCACGUGACUUUAGAAGUGACUUACGAAAGCCAAUGUCAAAAAUGACACAAUGUCAUCAUACAAUCCGCACACGCUUCGUUCGUCAACCUAAUUUCAUUCAAGUUGAUCUAGACACUAGUCGAAAAUAUAACGAAAAAUCAUGGAGGACACUACAGUACAUUCGGCAUUUUUUCUCUAUCAUCCUUCCAUUUACUCUGUUUGUUACAUUAAAGAAACGAAAACAUUUUCCAUUUGAUGUCGAAAACAGUCAAUCGGGCUCCAUGCAAUGCCUAUAUACCUAAUUAGGCCACCGAAAUAAUGUCUGAACUCGCAAUUGAUUAGAAAAAAUCUACCUGUUUGUUUGAAUGGAAAUUUGCCGACUUAGGAGAAAAGAUUGGAAUGAUAUGCUCUCCGCAGACUUCAAUUAGUGUUGGUUCAUUUUCAUAAUUUGGAAACCAUAAUUGAAAUUUCGAAAAGAUUUUUUGUUUAUUUCAAAAUGGGAUCGCACGUUUUUUUAAUGUAAUUUACCUGCAUGUCACGGAAAGAGGAAAUAAAAUUUGAAGGAAGAUAAACUGCAAAAGAAAGAAAACAAAUUAUAUCUAACUAUAACGCUGCUAAGACAUCAUCAUUUUUUUAGAUUUUUUUUUUCGUUUUGUUCAUAAUGCAUUUUUACACAUACACAAACAAAGGCGCAUGAAAGUAGAAAUUAGGAAGAAAAAAUUUAAUUAAUUUACCGAACGUAUCGACGAAAAUGCGAAUUAAUUCUGUUCUUCUUUCAAACAGUGAGAAGGACACAAGAUUUUUAAUAAAAUAAAAAAAAAAAAAACAGAGAAAAAUUGGAAUAAAUAAAUUUAAUUAUUUUUAGUUUACAAAAUUUCGUUUUAUUUUUCCUUUUUACUUUUAUAAUUUUGCCACCAAAAAUAGUAGAUUGUAUAUGCUGUGCAUGGGUGGAAUGGCGUUCGAUAUACACUUUUUUUGUUCUUUGUUGAUAUGGAGAAGAAAAAAAAAAUUGUUUCAAAAAUCCACGCAUGCGGAUAUUUUCAGCAGUGAUCAUCCGAAAUGACUAAAGUAUUCUACGUAUACCAUCAUGUCCCCAUACUGUUCAAUGAAAGUUUAGUGCUCUAGCUGGCAAAUUUGGUUUUAGUUGGUGUGAUCAAAUGGAAUCAAAUGAGUGCACACAAAAAAAACACAGUUGGUCUGGUGCAGGGUCGGACUGGCUACCAAAUGGCACAUCGGACAUUUGGCAACACGCUGAUCAGAAAGCGUAAAAAUUAAGUGACAGGCGCCAGUAUAAAAAUUUUAAUUGAUUAAACCAAAAGGCGCGACCGACCUUCCCCGAUUUCACCAUUAUCAGGGCGGAUCUGGUGUACCUAUACAAUUACCCACAAAGGUCCUAAAAUUUUUGGAGAAUUUCGAGAAAUUGGGAUUUUUUGAAAAUGGACACAAACAAGCGAUCGAAGUCCAUGGAAUUUCAAUGGAACUGAUUCGUUGAACACUUAAAAGGCUCACAUGCACAGAAGAGCCAGUUUAUUCAAUGGUAAAACCACUUACAACGAUAUCUAGUGAGCUGUAUACACGGUAGGUAUUUUAUAGUUCAGUACCAAUUUGGCAAUUUCUACCACAUAAGAAGUGUUGACAAAAUGCACCUCACAAGAAUGAACAUGCAAAACUAUAAAUGGUCCUAUAGAUCGCCGUAUACUGAUUCUGCUGCAGCUAUAUUUGAACAGGUAACAGACUUUUGUUUAAACGUAAAAAUUGCUUAUUUGCAUUCCCAUUAUCAAACAAUUCUACAUAGCGGACGGCUUUUCGCUUUUUCUUUAUUUUUAUAAUUCACAUUUUGCUUUUAAAUGUCGAUUAAGCUUGCGAAUAAUACAGGGUUUGAUAUUUAAUUUUUGUUAUGAUGAAUAGUUAUUUAUGAAUAUGGCAAAGAAUAGACGAAUAAAAUGUAAAUGAAAUAAUAAAUAAAUGGCAGAUGGAACGACGGUGAACGAUAAGCGGGUUAGAUGUCUUGUAUUGUCAGUAAGAAAAGGAUUUGAAUUCCAUUUUUUUUUAAAUCAAAUUAUCUUUAAUGCAUUUGAUUUGGUGUUUUCGUAAAAGAAACUAAAUUAGAAAUGAUAAGGAAAUUACCAAGAGAUUCGUUAGCAUAUUCAGUUUAUGGAAGGGUCAAGAAAUGGAAGAGAGAGAGAGAGAGAGAGAGAGACAAAACCAUAAAAAAAUUUAAAAAAAUGAAAAUUAAACAAGAAAAUGGAAAUAAAACCAAAUUGAAAUUCUAAAAAAAUUGUCUGACACAAUUCUCUGAAUUUUCAACCA